UGAGGAAUAUUGGUCAAUGGGCGCAAGCCUGAACCAGCCAUGCCGCGUGCAGGAUGAAGCAUCUAUGGCGUGUAAACUGCUCUUGUACGGGAAGAAACCACCCCUCGUGAGGGGUAUUGACGGUACCGUAAGAAUAAGGAUCGGCUAACUCCGUGCCAGCAGCCGCGGUAAUACGGAGGAUCCAAGCGUUAUCCGGAAUCAUUGGGUUUAAAGGGUCCGUAGGCGGGUCUGUAAGUCAGUGGUGAAAUCUCCCCGCUCAACGGGGAAACUGCCAUUGAUACUGCAGGUCCUGAAUUAUUGGGAGGUAACUAGAAUAUGUAGUGUAGCGGUGAAAUGCUUAGAGAUUACAUGGAAUACCAAUUGCGAAGGCAGCUUACUAAACUGUUACUGACGCUGAUGCACGAAAGCGUGGGGAGCGAACA
rnacentral:rRNA from 1 species